rnacentral:rRNA from 1 species
CAGCAGCCGCGGGAAUACGAAGGGUGCAAGCGUUACUCGGAAUUACUGGGCGUAAAGCGUGCGUAGGUGGUGGUUUAAGUCCGUUGUGAAAGCCCUGGGCUCAACCUGGGAAUUGCAGUGGAUACUGGGUCACUAGAGUGUGGUAGAGGAUAGUGGAAUUUCCGGUGUAGCAGUGAAAUGCGUAGAGAUCGGAAGGAACGUCUGUGGCGAAGGCGACUAUCUGGGCCAACACUGACACUGAGGCACGAAAGCGUGGGGAGCAAACAGGAUUAGAUACCCGUGUAGUCCCUGUCUCUUAUAA